UCUUAUGGACAAGCAGAGAAAGUGGUUUCUUGAGAUGGGAACUACUCCUGGGGAAGAUGCUGUGAA
rnacentral:pre_miRNA from 1 species